rnacentral:rRNA from 1 species
CCUACGGGGGGCUGCAGUAACGAAUCUUGGGCAAUGGGCGAAAGCCUGACCCAGCGACGCCGCGUGCGGGAUGAAGUCCUUCGGGAUGUAAACCGCUGUCAGGGGUCACCAAGCGAACGAGCCCAACAGGCUCGGGAGUUGAGGAGCCCCAGAGGAAGCCACGGCUAACUUCGUGCCAGCAGCCGCGGUAAGACGAAGGUGGCGAGCGUUGUUCGGAAUCACUGGGCUUAAAGCGCACGUAGGCGGGCCGUCUUGCGCCUUGUGAAAUCCCCCGGCUCAACCGGGGAAUGGCUGGGCGAACGGGCGGUCUUGAGGCCGGUAGAGGUGUGGAGAACUCUUGGUGGAGCGGUGGAAUGCGUAGAUAUCAAGAGGAAUGCCGGAGGCGAAGGCGCCGCACUGGGCCGGUCCUGACGCUGAGGUGCGAAAGCCAGGGGAGCAAACGGGAUUAGAUACCCCUGUAGUC